rnacentral:piRNA from 1 species
ACCCGAUGUUCUGAGGAAGCAGGUGUCUUC